UCCCUUGUGGCUCAGCUGGUAAAGAAUCCGCCUGCAAUGCAGGAGGCCUGGGUUCAAUCCCUGGCUUGGGAA
rnacentral:tRNA from 1 species